rnacentral:rRNA from 1 species
UACGGAGGGGGCUAGCGUUGUUCGGAAUUACUGGGCGUAAAGCGCACGUAGGCGGAUCUUUAAGUCAGGGGUGAAAUCCCGAGGCUCAACCUCGGAACUGCCUUUGAUACUGGGGAUCUCGAGUCCGGGAGAGGUGAGUGGAACUGCGAGUGUAGAGGUGAAAUUCGUAGAUAUUCGCAAGAACACCAGUGGCGAAGGCGGCUCACUGGCCCGGAACUGACGCUGAGGUGCGAAAGCGUGGGGAGCAAACAGG